rnacentral:rRNA from 1 species
UUAAGUCCCGCAACGAGCGCAACCCCCGCCGUUAGUUGCCAGCGGUUCGCCGGGCACUCUAACGGGACUGCCCGCGAAAGCGGGAGGAAGGAGGGGACGACGUCUGGUCAGCAUGGCCCUUACGGCCUGGGCGACACACGUGCUACAAUGCCCACUACAAAGCGAUGCCACCCGGCAACGGGGAGCUAAUCGCAAAAAGGUGGGCCCAGUUCGGAUUGGGGUCUGCAACCCGACCCCAUGAAGCCGGAAUCGCUAGUAAUCGCGGAUCAGCCAUGCCGCGGUCGAAUACGUUCCCGGGCCUU